AAAAAACAAAAAAACAAAAAAUAUUGAAUUUCUUUUUUAUUGGAGCCAUAGCUGGAGUUACAGAGUUCAUGUACGAGCAAAUGAGUUUUUUUUUUCUUCCAAUUAAUCAUUUAUUUUAGUUAGGUAUAAUAUGAUAUUGAUGUCUGCACAGCACAGAAAAGAUGUGAGGUAUGUGAGGGUCAGGGCUUGUUUUGAUCAAAGAAGACUACGUCAAAUGUCCUGGAUGUGGUAUGUGUUCAGAUCCUUUGCUUUCAAGGGGCUGAAAAAAUCUAUUUCUCAUUAUUAUUUAUAAUUUUUCUGGAUUGAGAUUGACCCCCUCUAUUUUUUUUUGUCAAGUUAAUUCACAUUCUUCGUAAAUUUUUUUCCAGGUGGAUUUCUCCUUUGGCAAUCAUGGAAAAGCUUCUUUUCUGGCUAAGAAAUUUUUUUUUUCCUACCCUUAAUACAUUUUCCAUAAGGUUCGACAUUGAUGACCGUGAUAAAAUUACAAGAACAUAAACUGAAGUAUAUGGAAGAGUAUGAAUAUCAAGAUACUAUGGUAGUGACAAUUAAAGGCUUCGACGUUGAAAUGGUGAAGAUCCAGACUUUUUUCUCAACUACUGAUUUCUCAAACAACACUUUCAUAGGAGAGAUUCCAAACACGAUUUGUAAUCUUAAGUCAUUGAAGAGGCUUAAUUUUUCUCAUAAUGAGCUUACAGGUAUAAUUUCACCCUCAUUUGGCGAUUUGAGUAAUCUUGAAUGGUUAGAUCUCCCUUCAAACAGGCUUGUUGGUGAUAUUCCAGCGCAAUUUGCAAAUUUGACAUCACUUGAAAAGUUCAAUCUUUCAGAAAACCGACUUGUGGGGCCCAUACCUCAUGGCAAGCAAUUUGAUACUUUUGAAAAUGAUUUAUACAGUGGAAAUUUAGGAUUGUGUGGAUUUCCAUGUUCAAAAACAUGUUUUCCACAUCAGUCAUCACCAUUAUCAUUGCAAGAAGAAAAUGAUUUGGAGCAUGGGAAUGAAUUUGAUUGGAAGAUCUUGUUGAUGGGGUAUG
rnacentral:lncRNA from 1 species